rnacentral:lncRNA from 1 species
GAAAAGGUGUACAGAAGUUUGGUAGGAUGUUUAAUGUAUCUAACCAUAACAAGAUCAGAUAUCAUGUAUGCUACAAAUCUCCUCUCUAGAUUCAGACAAGAGCCAACGAAUUUACAUCUUCAGGCAGCAAAAAGAGUACUGAGGUACAUCAAAGGGACUACAAAAUUGGGAAUAUGGUUUAGGAGGACAGAAAAUCUGAUUUUAAGAGGUUAUACCGAUAGUGAUUGGGCCGGAUCUUUUGAUGAUAUGAAGAGCACCUCUGGGUAUGUAUUUUAUCUGGGAUCAAGCAUUGUGUGCUGGAAUUCAAUGAAGCAAAAAACUGUUGCUCAAUCAACAGCAGAAGCAGAGUAUAUAGCAGCAGCAGAAGCAACAAAUCAAGCACUAUGGCUGAGGAAAAUGCUGGAAGAUCUUAAGCAUAAACAAGGUGAUUCAACUAUCAUUUAUUGUGACAACCAAUCAGCAGUAGCAAUGGUCAAAAAUCCUAUGUUUCAUGGGAGAACAAAGCAUAUUAAGAUAAGAUAUCAUUCAAUUAGGGAAGCACAAGAAAAUGAUGAAGUAAAGCUGAUGCACUGCAAUGGAGAAGUUCAAUAUGCAGACAUAUUUACUAAAUCCUUAUCCAAAGGGAGGUUUGAAACAUUAAGGAGAUGCCUUGGUGUUUCCAGCAAAAAUGUCAAGGAGGAGUAUUGACUUUGGUUUGUCAUUUUUGCUGUCACAUUUUGUAAUGUCUUUGUGUGUAUUAAAAUCAGCCUAUGUUAUGUCUAUUUUUUUGUGAUUAUAAAGUCUAUCAAUGUAUGGCUAUUCUGCCACUAGGUAAGGCUGUAGUUGGUAGGAGUUGUUGGCUAAUGGUAUGGCUGAAAAUCUCUUGUGUUACACUUGAAAUAGCUGCUGGUAAUGGUGCUUUUUACUGAUGAAUUUUACAUAGCAGAAAUCUGUUUUUCUCUUCCUCUUUGUUCUAUAAAAUCCUACAGUCCCUUUUGUAAGACCUCUUCUACCUCACCUUGCUGGAACCAAUGCCAGAGACAUGGUUAUUGGCUUCGUGCCUGUUCAGGUAGGCUUUCCCCUUAUUGUUUCGGCCCUUGUUUUCGUCCUGCUGUGGCUCCUUCAUUGCCUGUGUGUGCGGCUGUUCUCUAUGUGAUUCUGGGUGAUUUCUUCAUGGCUUUGAGUAGGAUUCUUG